rnacentral:lncRNA from 1 species
UAGGCUGUAACAUUAUCUCUCUCCAGGUAUUGUAGCUGAAUGUUAGGCUGUAACAUUAUCUCUCCAGGUAAUGUAGCUGAAUGUUAGGCUGUAUCAUGAGCUCUCUCCAGGUAAUGUAGCUGAAUGUUAGGCUGUAACAUUAUCUCUCUCCAGGUAAUGUAGCUGAAUGUUAGGCUGUAACAUGAGCUCUCUCCAGGUAAUGUAGCUGAAUGCUAGGCUGUAACAUUAUCUCUCUACAGGUAAUGUAGCUGAAUGUUAGGCUCUAACAUUAUCUCAUGGUAUUAUCACAUGGAUAUGACCAGAAAUAAUCAAUGUAAAAGAAUGGGACAGAUCAGACGUUUGUGAAAAUCCAUCUCUUUCCAGACAGAUGCAUGUAAUGUACUGUGAAUAUGAUGUCGUUGAUGUUACCUUGCAGCAUGUCAGGAUUAUGCCAAAUAAACGUAGGGGAUAAUAAUACAUUGUGUGAUUCAUGUUUAUUGACAAGAUG